CGUGUAGGCGGGGAUGCAAGUCAGAUGUGAAAUCCCGCGGCUCAACCGCGGAACUGCAUCUGAAACUGCGUCUCUUGAGUGUCGGAAGGGAAAGUGGAAUUCCUAGUGUAGCGGUGAAAUGCGUAGAUAUUAGGAGGAACACCGGUGGCGAAGGCGACUUUCUGGACGAUAACUGACGCUGAGACGCGAAAGCGUGGGGAGCAAACAG
rnacentral:rRNA from 1 species